rnacentral:rRNA from 1 species
CCUACGGGUGGCAGCAGUGGGGAAUAUUGCGCAAUGGGCGAAAGCCUGACGCAGCGACGCCGCGUGAGGGAUGAAGGUCUUCGGAUCGUAAACCUCUGUCAGCAGGGAAGAACGGUCACUGUGCUAAUCAGCAGUGAAUUGACGGUACCUGCAAAGGAAGCACCGGCUAACUCCGUGCCAGCAGCCGCGGUAAUACGGAGGGUGCGAGCGUUAAUCGGAAUUACUGGGCGUAAAGCGCUCGUAGGCGGUAUGUCAAGUCAAGGGGGAAAUCCCCGCGCUCAACGUGGGAACUGCCUUUGAAACUGGUGAACUGGAGUGUGUGAGAGGAAAGUGGAAUGCCAGGUGUAGGAGUGAAAUCCGUAGAUAUCGGGAGGAACAUCAGUGGCGAAGGCGACUAUCUGGCACAUAACUGACGCUGAGGAGCGAAAGCGUGGGUAGCAAACAGGAUUAGAUACCCGAGUAGUC